AUGUUGGAUUACAGUCUGCAACCAUUCAGGAUGGUUUUCGAAGAAAUGAGAGCCCAAGCAAGGAAGAUUGAUGAAGGAAUCAGUGCUCUGGAAAAGAAACUUCAGAACCCAUCAUUGAUAGGAUACUUGGAUGAUGAUGUGCAUGAGCGGGCAGUUCAAAUCCUGGAUGAACUUUUACAAGAAAUGGAUAUCAUUGAUAGCGAGGUGUCUAAGUAUUCAGCAGAUAUGACUGAAGACCUUCAUGAUAUUAAAAGCAACUGCGAAAGUCUCGAGAGCUACAUUGAAAUGAUGGAAGAGAACAUUGACACAAUGACAGAAUUUGGAAAACAGUAUGGAUAUGUUCCUCCAGCUCAUUUAGUUGAGACCAAUGAGUCGGAAGAUUCUGAUUUGUCACAACUAUCACAAAAUUAUGAAAGUUCUGUUAAGAUUGAAGAUGAAACUCCUAUUUUAAUUGAUAGUGGCAUGUCAAACUCACUGAGGUCAGAUAAUUUAUCAGUUGCAACCAAUGAGACAUGGGAGCAAGGACGCAGGCCUGCAAGUCAAAUCAUGAUGAAACCUUCACAACACCAUGUUCGAUGUAUAAGUACGCCAUCUCAACCUACCAGAUGUUUCGGAAGUAAAGAACCUCUCUUUCAGCAAGCUCUCCCCUGCAAUGGCAUCAUCUAGCCCCAAGUUUCUGAAACCUAAAUUCAACCUAGAUGAAACAGCAUCUACUCUUUCUGAUGCGCAUUCACAAUCAACAGCUCUGCGUCAUCAUCUUUCUCUGUCAAUCCACGGCGCCUGUCUAGAUAUCCUGUUGCCACAAAUCAUCUUCAAACACCACCGGAGGUUGAGCUAUCCUCUCUUAGCCGGAGACUUUUACACAAAUCAGCCGUCAAGAAAAAAUUUUAGUCAGUUAAUUGGAAAACCUGAAUAUGUUUUUAUUAAGACUGUGAUAUUUUAGAGCAUGAGUGUGCUAAAGAUGUUAAUGCUUAAAUCCAACAGCCAGCGAAUUGUUGGAAUUUUGUAUUUGUCGUCUGACAAGAUUAGGGAGGAUUUAAGUGAUAAUCGAGAAUACUACUUUAAGCCAAAAAAGAUUUUUGAAACAGCGUAUUUAACAUUUUUCUUAGGGGAUGCUGCAAAAACCAUUCAAGAAAUACAUGUUUGAUCGGUGUUUGUGGGUAACUGAUAAGGGCCUUAAAGGCUGUUCAGUCAAUAUAAGAAUAAAUUUUACCAAAGUAUGGAAGAUCUAGAAAAUUGUGGUACAGUUUGUUUAUCCACUCAACACUCACGAUUGCCCUGAAUUGGAGAAAUAUCAUCAGUGGUACAUUCAGGGUGUCUAGUAUUUUUUAACUUCGAAAAGUCCUUAUAUUUUCCUGAUUUUUCCUGAUAUUUUAUAUCAAAUUCCUGAUUUUUUCAUUUUGAAAAUUCCUGAUAUUUUCCUGAUUUUUCUCGUAAAAAACUAUAUUUAUUGUAUAAAUGCAUGCGGAAACUAAAUUUUCUGCUAAAGUUCUUAUGAUUAGAAACUAGUAUAAAAUGAUGAAAACGCAAGUAACGUCUCAAAUCUUCAGUAAACGUUUCCGUAAAAGGAGAAGUCUUACUAAGACUUCUCCGCUGAGGAGAUUCGCGUAAGAAAAAUCCUGAUAACAAACAUCCGAUUUCCAUGAUAUUUUCCUGAUUUUUUCCUGAUCUGCCAAAAUUCCUGAUAUUUUCCGGUUUUUCCUAAUGCUUGACACCCUGAUUAUGUGUGCAGAACGUACAAAAGUCACUGGAAGACCUUAUCAAAAUGGCCAGAUGUGAGAUAUGGACCUUCCCCAUAACUUGGCAAUUCGGCUUACAGCAAAUCUUCAUUCUUCAUUGAAUUACAUAUCGACGGUGGUAAGUCUGCAAUCACAUAUCUCGUUGUGGUGUCUGAAAAUCUCCGGCUCUAUUUAUUUUUUUAAAGGAGAACAAAUGGACAUCAUUCCUUGAAGUUUAUGCAGAAUUUUCUUCCCCAGAGGAAGAAAAAUCACGGCAGUUUUAAAGAAUGGCCGUUGAGUAGUUUUAUUUUUAAGAAAUAAGUAUGACAGGAAGUCUGCGACGUCGCAAACCGAGUUAUGUGAUUGCCGACUUACACCGUCGAUAUGAUAGAUCUCUGCAGCCACCAUGUUUUAAAUUUUAGCGUUUCAUAGGAAUACUUUCCAUAUGCCUAAGGCUUUGAAAAAAAAACGAUUUCUUGAUUCCUAAUAACUUGACCUAAAUAGGGUUAUUUGAGCUUGGGAAGAUGGUCCAGGACUUAGGGAAUUUGAAACGCCGAUUGCGGCGAAAGCUACCUACUGAUGUGGUCCUUUUUCAGUAAAAGCCUCAAUUCAAGUCAUGUGAUUGGUCAGCUUUGUUAGUCAGUCGUCCUUUUUGUCAAGCCAAUGUCAGGAGGAAUUGAUGCCAAGCUAAGGCAUUUUAAGCUGCCUAUACCUUGUUGUUGAUUCUUAGCGGCUGAAGCUUCACAAAGAGGACAUCUGACUAAGCUGACAAUCAAUUAACUCUGUUUCAUUGUAGUCUUCUCUUGUCUCGAGGUUAACAAGUAUAAAAUUUCUAAAAUUAAGAGUUGUUCAUAAAAUAAGUGACCCUAAAUUUCAGAUUUUUCAACCCUCUUCCCCUUUCGUGAGGAAGGUCUCCAUGCUACAACUUGUAAAAACAAAAUGGCGUAAUAAGCUCCUACUCCCCAACGGUACAUAUUUAUGAAUGAUAUUCAGUCUGCUGCUCUAAAAAUGUAUUAAUGUUUAAAAUAAGGGUUUUGUAUUGCCCUCUUAAUGGAAAAAAUUGUGCCGAGGAGUUAAGAAUCUUCCAAAUAGUGAAAAUUAAAGACAUAAGAAUGGAGAAUUUGCACACAAAAAUUUUAUCGCUUCAUCUGAAAAUACCUAAUGAGCUGAGUUCGCAGUAUUUUUCGUAAUUUUUUUCUGACAUGGGAAUUCGAGAAAAAUUGAUUUAAAAGUGAGAAAAUGUGCUGCCUCGUAAUGUCAUUUGGCGGCAUUUCCAUUUAAACACAUGUACAUAUUUUAGCAAAAUCGGUUACUUUGUCAUAUAUCUCCUCUAAUAAUCGCUCAAUUUAUGAAUCAAGGGUAUCUUCGUGCUCAGUUUACUUAGUAGAUCCCACUUAAACACGAAAUUCAUCAAAUUUCAGACCCUUGCAAAUUCUCCAUUGUUUGAAUUUUUUAAGGAUUAUCUAGAGUUCAGUUGUGUGUUUGAACACUAAACUCAUUUUGCUACCCGUUGAAUGAAUUGGAGAAUCACAAGUUGAAGCAACGGAAAGCAAUUUCAUCAAGAUUUGUAGGACACUGUUGAUUUUAAAUUUUAAAUUUCUUUCUAUUGGUCUAUGUUUGCUACUAUAUUUUAUGGUAGUCUUGGAAUGAAAAAAGUGCAACAUUGCAGCUUUGAUGUGUUAACCUCCGGUGAGGAAGCUUUAGUUUAUGCAACAAAAAAAGUAGUAUUAGAGGUUUAAUUUCUUCCAGAGUUGUUUCUAAUGUUGAUUUUAGGGUUUCCUUUGACACAAAUAUUUGAUAUUGUUCAAGCAAUCGCAAAGUUUUGCCAGAAAAUCAAUUUAUGACUCUCUUAAGACAAAGCUGCUAACUUAGAGAUUUUAAUGUACAGAUGAUCUUUGUGAAAGGCAUAAGGCACAAAAGUGAAGUACAAUCUCAAUGUUGUGAAGAGCUCACUCUCAUCCCUUCAAUUUUCAUGAUUGGUGAUCGGAGCAGUUGAUAACAAACUUCUAGCUAAAUAUUCCCAGCAAUUUUGAUUUAUCAUUUUUUACAGUUCAAAAUUGGAAAACACUAGCAAAACUGAAAAGAGCUUGACCCUUUCCUGCUCUGGACUCUUCAAUUUUGAUGUGACAAUUUUGUUUUUUAUUCGAAUCGAUAAUAGCAUCAGAUGAAUAAUACUUCUUUUUCUGCCUCGCCUGGUAAAGACGGGAUGCACAUGAGGGAAAAUAGUAAAUUGAACAAUCGAGAUUUAUAUAGAAAUGUGAUUGAUAAUCAGAGAACUUUAUUUCUAAGAAUUGAUUGUUAACUAACUCUUCCACAAAGUUGAGGCCUUAUGUAAAAAUUGUGUGUUGUUUGUAAUAUUUAUAGUGAAAUUAACAAGAAUAAAUUAUGGAGCAAAUGAUUUACAGCAUUCAUGACACAAUUUUUAUUUUAUCAUGGUCCAGUAAUGAAGAGCAUUAAAAUAAGCUUUUCAAGUACACUCUUUGCAAUGACAAAGGUUUUUGCUCAUCCAUACUAUUUUAAGCAACUAACUGCCAAGUAUCAGUAUUGCCUCGCUAACACCAUAUCAAUUUCAGAGAAUUCUUUGUGCAUGCCGAGAAGGACUGCUUCACUGAUGAAAUACCACUGCAAAUCUGAGAAUUCCCUAUUUAACCUGGGAGAAUUCUAAUUUCUUCCAAUGACUUGCAACGGCCACACUGCAUGCACAUCAAUCUGCAAUUAAAAAUUAGAAAUGCCACAAUUUAGUUGAUGAGAAUCAAACAGAAAAUAAAAUUAUUUGAAAGAUAGUCUACACAACUGUAAUACAUUUUUGGCGCAUUUGAAUCAGACACUCAUGAAGUGCCUCUACUGCCUCUCAUGUUUUACAUGUGCUAAAGUGACAGGAUAGUUUUUGGUGGGUGAAUGAAAUAACAUACUAAUAAUUUUAUUAAAGUUUGAGAGACGAAAAUUUUUACUUUCUCGCUCCCCUAGGGUAGAGAGGAGUAUUGUCAUCCUCCAAGAAAAAGAAAAAAAAAAAGUUGAAAUUUUCAUCAUUUCUAGACGUUUUAAGGUCCCAGGAGUCAAAAUAACCAUACUUGAAAAAAUGUGUGUCCGUCGUCAGGCGUCCCCCAAAUCUGUCUACAGCGAUAUCUCAGAAUCUAUCAGUUCGAUUUCAUUCAAAAUUGUCACAGAACACCAUAUCUAUGGUCUUCUUAUGCACGUCCAACGAUUUUGGGGUACGCUAAAAUUUGGGGGGGCUAGGGGACUAUGUCCAUUUAUAGCAAAAUCACACGGAAAGCUCAUUUUGAGUGACGGU
rnacentral:lncRNA from 1 species